rnacentral:rRNA from 1 species
UAUUGCACAAUGGGCGCAAGCCUGAUGCAGCAACGCCGCGUGGAGGAAGACGGUUUUCGGAUUGUAAACUCCUGUUCUUAGUGAAGAAGAAAGUGACGGUAGCCAAGGAGGAAGCCACGNCUAACUACGUGCCAGCAGCCGCGGUAAUACGUAGGUGGCAAGCGUUGUCCGGAAUUACUGGGUGUAAAGGGAGCGCAGGCGGGACUGCAAGUUGGAUGUGAAAUACCGCAGCUUAACUGCGGAGCUGCAUCCAAAACUGUAGUUCUUGAGUGAAGUAGAGGUAGGCGGAAUUCCGAGUGUAGCGGUGAAAUGCGUAGAUAUUCGGAGGAACACCGGUGGCGAAGGCGGCCUACUGGGCUUUUACUGACGCUGAGGCUCGAAAGUGUGGGGAGCAAAC